UUUGAUGGCGACCGGCGCACGGGUGAGUAACACGUAUCCAACCUGCCGAUGACUCGGGGAUAGCCUUUCGAAAGAAAGAUUAAUACCGGAUGGCAUAGUUCUUCCGCAUGGUGGAACUAUUAAAGAAUUUCGGUCAUCGAUGGGGAUGCGUUCCAUUAGGUUGUUGGCGGGGUAACGGCCCACCAAGCCUUCGAUGGAUAGGGGUUCUGAGAGGAAGGUCCCCCACAUUGGAACUGAGACACGGUCCAAACUCCUACGGGAGGCAGCAUG
rnacentral:rRNA from 1 species